ensembl:lncRNA
GUGGCUGUGAGCCCAUAAUCAGUGUGACAGGAGGACAAAGUGUUUGCUCCGGUCAGGACUUUACCCUCACAUGUCAGUUGGAUUGUGAUGGACCAUCAAGCCAUUGCAAAUAAGAGUCAUUCAGGAAUAUAUAGCUGCCAAACAGAGAAAGGUUCAAAAAGCAGGCUUCAAGUGAAAGUGGAAGACUGUAGUUUUUCUUCAACUUAUAUAUCAGAAUACUUACCCAUUGUAAAUACAACAUCAUCCUCUCUGACUAAUACCACAUACCAAGGCCACUCACCAUCAAGGGUCUUGGAGCCAGUGCUGAUAUGGUACUUGCUGUUCAAGACAGGGGUUUUCCUCAUCAUAUCAAUAACUGCAGCACUGAUAAUUGUGUGCCAGGAGCACUGAAAAAGACCUGAAUUUCUGUCAUGUAAAUUAAAAACUAUAUGCUUCUAAUAAAUCAUGUUCUGCAUGUAUCUUCUCUUGCA